CCCUAGUAACUGCGAGUGAAGCGGGAAAAGCUCAAAUUUUAAAUCUGGCAGUCUAUGGCUGUCCGAGUUGUAGUCUGGAGAAGUGCUUUCCGUGCCGGACCGUGUAUAAGUCUCUUGGAAUAGAGCGUCAUAGAGGGUGAGAAUCCCGUCUUUGACACGGACUACCGGUGCUUUGUGAUGCGCUCUCAAAGAGUCGAGUUGUUUGGGAAUGCAGCUCAAAAUGGGUGGUAAAUUCCAUCUAAAGCUAAAUAUUGGCGAGAGACCGAUAGCGAACAAGUACCGUGAGGGAAAGAUGAAAAGCACUUUGGAAAGAGAGUUAAACAGUACGUGAAAUUGCUGAAAGGGAAACGCUUGAAGUCAGUCGCGUUGUGCAGAACUCAACCUAGCUUUUGCUUGGUGCACUUUCUGUAUGACGGGCCAGCAUCGAUUUUGACCGUCGGAAAAGGGUCGAAGGAAUGUGGCACCUCCGGGUGUGUUAUAGCCUUUGGUCGCAUACGGCGGUUGGGAUCGAGGAACGCAGCGUGCCGCAAGGUGGGGCUUCGGCCUACAUUCACGCUUAGGAUGCUGGCAUAAUGGCUUUAAACGACCCGUCUUGAAACACGGACCAAGGAGUCUAACAUGCCUGCGAGUGUUUGGGUGGAAAACCCGAGCGCGUAAUGAAAGUGAAAGUUGAGACCUCUGUCGUGGAGGGCAUCGACGCCCGGACCUGAAGUUUUCUGACGGAUCCGCGGUAGAGCAUGUAUGUUGGGACCCGAAAGAUGGUGAACUAUGCCUGAAUAGGGUGAAGCCAGAGGAAACUCUGGUGGAGGCUCGUAGCGAUUCUGACGUGCAAAUCGAUCGUCAAAUUUGGGUAUAGGGGCGAAAGACUAAUCGAACCAUCUAGUAGCUGGUUCCU
rnacentral:rRNA from 1 species